rnacentral:rRNA from 1 species
AUAAUCAUUAGUCUUUUAAUUAAGGGCUAGAAUGAACGAUUGGACGAAGUAUUAACUGUCUCAUUUUAAUUAUUAUUAGAAUUUAAUUUUUGAGUUAAAAAGCUUAAAUUUAAUUAAAGGACGAGAAGACCCUAUAGAGCUUUAUAAAAAUUUAUUUAUAAAAUUUAUAUUAGAUUUAUUUUACAAUUAUAAAUAAUUUUAUUUUAUUGGGGUGAUAAGAAGAUUAAAAUAACUCUUUUUAGAUUUUACAUUAAUGUAUGAAUUUUUGAUCCUGUAUUAUAGAUUAUAAGACUAAGUUACCUUAGGGAUAACAGCGUAAUUUUUUUUGAGAGUUCUUAUCGACAAAAUAGAUUGC